GACGAACGCUGGCGGCGUGCUUAACACAUGCAAGUCGAACGGAAAGGCCCUGCUUUUGUGGGGUGCUCGAGUGGCGAACGGGUGAGUAACACGUGAGUAACCUGCCCUUGACUUUGGGAUAACUUCAGGAAACUGGGGCUACUACCGGAUAGGAGCUCCUGCUGCAUGGUGGGGGUUGGAAAGUUUCGGCGGGUGGGGAUGGACUCGCGGCUUAUCAGCUUGUUGGUGGGGUAGUGGCUUACCAAGGCUGUGACGGGUAGCCGGCCUGAGAGGGUGACCGGCCACAUUGGGACUGAGAUACGGCCCAGACUCCUACGGGAGGCAGCAGUGGGGAAUAUUGCACAAUGGGCGGAAGCCUGAUGAAGCAACGCCGCGUGCGGGAUGACGGCCUUCGGGUUGUAAACCGCUGUCGCCUGUGACGAAGCGUGAGUGACGGUAAUGGGUAAAGAAGCACCGGCUAACUACGUG
rnacentral:rRNA from 1 species